CACCUCCGGUGUUCCCGCGACACCAUGAGUCGCGGUCAAGUUAGCUCCGCCCGCUGACUCCGCAGCUACCACCUUUAUUUGUUUGAGAAAGGCGGGCUCUUAAGGCUCUUUGGCUCCCGCCCUACCUCUCCGCGGGCGCUGCGCUCGCCGCCGUGGCCAAUCACAGAGCACGUCACGUCGCAGCAGCCAAUCGGAAAGGCCGGGGGGUAUUAAGCCAACCUCUGGGCCUCCCCUCGCUCCUCGUUGGAGGGUGGUAACUAUAUUUCGCUACAAUGGGCUCUUUUUCGUCCGGCCUGGUGAAAUCUAGGGCCAUCCGCGCUUCUUCCGAGGCUCGGCCAGAGAAUGCCAAGGGGGAAAGGCAGGACAAAAGUUGAGGCGAAUCCAGAGGCAUGCCGUUAUCUGAUGCGGAGAUAAUGUCGGAGCUAUUGGUAGAGUAGGUAUGUGACCUCAGGAUUUAAUGAGAAUUUAAUACCAAGAUAAGUCGGUUUUUAAUUCAUCGAGCUCUUUCCUGCAAGAUCCUUUGCCGCAAUGGGGAUUAAGAAGGAGAUAAGCUGCAAGAAUGAGUCCAGCAUCCAAGCAAGGUUGUUCUUUCUCCCUUGUUACUUAAUCCAGAUUCUGGCUGAAAAGAUUCAUCUCAAGGAAUUGUAUUCUUGA
rnacentral:lncRNA from 1 species